rnacentral:rRNA from 15 species
UUAGACCCGAAACCCGGCGAUCUAGGCAUGACCAGGUUGAAGGUGCGGUAACACGCACUGGAGGACCGAACCGUUGAAUGUUGAAAAAUUCUCGGAUGAGUUGUGUUUAGGGGUGAAAGGCCAAUCAAGCCGGGAAAUAGCUGGUUCUCCGCGAAAACUAUUGAGGUAGUGCCUCGGAUGAACACCGUUGGGGGUAGAGCACUG